rnacentral:misc_RNA from 1 species
GAUCUUCAUAGAGAGGGCGACUUGCUGAAAGUCUAUGGGUAGGAAAUAGUGUUAGUAGUUAUGCUUGCAGGUGAUGUUUUCUCUUAGGUUUGGAUGUUGUGCUCUGCUUAAGGGAAAUUGUUAAUAUUGUUUUAGACAUUUGCACCUCUGAGGCUUUAUACUUCUCCAUCUUUGCGAGAAGUUCACCCUAACAAGACUAUAUGAGACUGAAAGGCCAGAGGCUCUGCUACGUCACCUUCCUUGAGCUGUAAAGUUGUG